ACGCCUGUAGCUCAGGGGAUAGAGCGUCGGUUUCCGGUGCCGUGUGUCGGGGGUUCGAAUCCCUCCAGGCGUG
rnacentral:tRNA from 1 species